rnacentral:rRNA from 1 species
UUGGCUUAGAAGCAGCCAUCCUUGAAAGAGUGCGUAAUAGCUCACUGGUCAAGUGAUUCUGCGCCGAUAAUGUAGCGGGGCUCAAGUACACCGCCGAAGUUGUGGCAAUCAGUCCUUGUGGCUGGUUGGGUAGGGGAGCGUCCUGCAUGAGGUGAAGCUGCCACGGGAGUGUGUGGUGGAUUGUGUGGGAGUGAGAAUGCAGGCAUGAGUAGCGAAUCACGGGUGAGAAACCCGUGCGCCGGAUGAUCAAGGGUUCCAGGGUCAAGUUAAUCUGCCCUGGGUUAGUCGGGGCCUAAGGCGAGGCCGACAGGCGUAGUCGAUGGAUAACGGGUUGAUAUUCCCGUACCAGUGAAGAACCGUCCAUACUGAUAUUGUGAUGCUAACCAUGCCGAACACAGUGUGCUGCUCUUUUGGGUGGUGUGUUGUGGGGUGUGUGGGACCCAGGCUUUGGAGGUAAGCGUGUUAACAGGUGUGACGCAGGAAGGUAGCCAAGCCACGCGGUGGUUGUCGUGGUCUAAGCGUGUAGGAUGGUUGGUUGUUAAAUGCGCCAGCUGUGUGUCUGAGACGUGAUGGGACCCCGUUGUUGGGGGAUUUGGUGAUCCUAUGCUGUCGAGAAAAGCAUCGGCGUGAGGUUUGAGCUGCCCGUACCCGAAACCGACACAGGUGAUCAGGUAGAGAAUACUAAGGCGAUCGAGAGAAUCAUGGUUAAGGAACUCGGCAAAAUGCCCCCGUAACUUCGGGAGAAGGGGGGCCCUGAGCGUGAUCUGCCCGUGCGGUGGGGAGCGUGUAGGGGUCGCAGAGACCAGGGGGAAGCGACUGUUUAUCAAAAACACAGGUCCGUGCGAAGUCGUAAGACGAGGUAUACGGACUGACUCCUGCCCGGUGCUGGAAGGUUAAGAGGAGUGGUUAGCCCCUUUGGGGGCGAAGCUGCGAAUUUAAGCCCCAGUAAACGGCGGUGGUAACUAUAACCAUCCUAAGGUAGCGAAAUUCCUUGUCGGGUAAGUUCCGACCUGCACGAAUGGCGUAACGACUUCUCCGCUGUCUCGACCACGAGCUCGGUGAAAUUGCAGUACGAGUAAAGAUGCUCGUUUCGCGCAGCAGGACGGAAAGACCCCGUGACCUUUACUAUAGUUUGGUAUUGGUGUUUGGGUUGGCUUGUGUAGGAUAGGUGGGAGACUGUGAAGCCGCUACGCUAGUGGUGGUGGAGUCGUUGUUGAAAUACCACUCUGGUCAAUCUGAGCGUCUAACUUCGGGCCAUGAUCUGGUUCAGGGACAGUGCCUGAUGGGUAGUUUAACUGGGGCGGUUGCCUCCUAAAGUGUAACGGAGGCGCCCAAAGGUUCCCUCAGCCUGGUUGGCAAUCAGGUGUUGAGUGUAAGUGCACAAGGGAGCUUGACUGUGAGAGUGGCGGCUCGAGCAGGUGCGAAAGCAGGGACUAGUGAUCCGGCAGUGGCGUGUGGAAGCGCUGUCGCUCAACGGAUAAAAGGUACCUCGGGGAUAACAGGCUGAUCUUGCCCAAGAGUCCAUAUCGACGGCAUGGUUUGGCACCUCGAUGUCGGCUCGUCGCAUCCUGGGGCUGGAGUCGGUCCCAAGGGUUGGGCUGUUCGCCCAUUAAAGCGGUACGCGAGCUGGGUUCAGAACGUCGUGAGACAGUUCGGUCCCUAUCCGCUGCGCGCGUUGGAGAAUUGAGAAAGGCUGUCCUUAGUACGAGAGGACCGGGACGGACGAACCUCUGGUAUGUCAGUUGUACCGCCAGGUGCAUGGCUGAUUGGCUACGUUCGGGAGGGAUAACCGCUGAA